CAACCCUCAGGCCACGCCUGGCGUUGGGGCCCUGCGCUGCAGGCCCCGAAAGACAGCGGCGGGUGCGUCCCACGACCGAACGCAGUAGUUACUUCUCGUUCCGGGCGCGGGCGCAUGCCGGCCGUAAAACCCCCAAUUUUACAA
rnacentral:misc_RNA from 2 species